CGCACGACCGCUCCGUGGAAAUCCAACUCCUCCCGUGCCCUAAACCUAGCCGCCUCCCUCCACUUCCCGCAGGGCGAUCCUUGGCUGCUGGUGAGCAGCGGCUCUCUCGCCGGAUACCAGUGGUGGCCGGUGACACGGCUCACAUUGGCACCUCACACGUACUAGUCGAACGAGGACGUCUCAAAGGGCUGCGGCGGCGAGUUGGAGCACAGGGGCGCGGCCGCCAGUUGGAGAACAUGGGGCUCGGCCGAGGAAAGACGGGCCAGAGAUUCGGGCUACUGUUGCAAGGGCGUUGGCAGGAGAUGGCAUCAUCAAGAAGCCAAGCGGGUGCACAUCAGCAGCAAGAACCAGAACAUCAUGAAUAUUGGCAGAGUAUCAAUCUUUUGAAAGCUCUUAGUAAAUUCAGGCGUUGCAGCUCAAUGAAUGCAUACUAAAGUGACCCCUGCUAGAAUUGCUUGUCUUGAUUUUAAAUUUCGGAAGACAAAAAUGCAAAUGGGGGUUCAAAUCCUUGUAUCUAAUCCAAGGGAGAAGAUCUGAAAUCUGACAUAACAAGACAGCGAAUUGAGGAACUUCUCAAGGCCAGUGCCAACAUUGUAUAAACCAAAGAAAUUUAUGAUAUCUUGUUGAAGGCAUGCUGUCAUUAUUCAAGCAGAAGCUGAUCUUCUUUCUGUUAUAUAUUUGAUUUUGGAUAUAGUUUCAGAGCACUACAACACAGGCUAUGCAUGUAUUUGGUUUAACCUGGGUCCACGCUACUACUGAAGAAUUCUACUUAGUAGCUUCUAGCUUUGUUUGUUCAACAUGCGGAAUUUGCCGUAUAUCACUUAACAUAAUUGACUCUAAAUAGAACAGGUAGUUAAUAGUUAUUUCCUUCUCAUUACCAGCAUGUAUUAAUUCCUCCACCCGUUUAACUUGUACAACUACAAAUUAUUGAAAGAUAUCGCUACAUCAUACUUCUGAUAAGAUUUUGAUUGUUUUUGUUUCACAUGAUAUGUCUCAGCUUGGAAUUGCAAUCACACUGAGGCAACCAAUAAGAGUUUCAAACGACUGGAGUCCAUGUUAGUAGUUUCUGUCCCAUACAUCUGCAAGACUUGCCAUAUUCGCAUACCAUGUCCCAUACAUCCGGAAGAAUUGCCAUAUUUGCAGGACUGAAUAACUUCUUUUGAUGCAAGAUUGUAAAUUGUCUAUUUCAUAUAUGCGAUACUAGGUAGAAUAUGAUAUUCGGAAGCAAGAUUGUAAACUGUUUACUCUUGAUAUGAUUUUCAUGUAUGAGAUGGUGGUUUCAAUAAUGAAUAUUGAA